AGUCAUCCACCCAUCCACUUGCGUGGCAAGGCGAGGCAACAGCCGGGCCGGUUGUCGCAAUUGAGCGGGCCUAGCUCGUCCUACUAGUAUGAGGAUCGGCACAGUAUGUUGCGUAAUCCUACCACUAACUGUGGAGAGGUAGAGGCAACACAUGUUCCGGUUGUUCUCAAAUUCGGAGAGCAUUAUUAGGGUCAGGUCGAGGCAACCAAAAGGGCCACGAGCCUUUAUCAUGAGCAACAUCCGAAACCAACAGCGGGAGCGAGGCUGCCUUGAUAGCACCAGGCACGAAACAUGCCAGCACCAAGAGGCAACGCCGCAAGCGCCAUAUGGCCGCAGCAGCACACCCAAAGGCGUCCACCGCGAGGCAACUGUGUAUGAAGCACCAAUACCCGUAGGUCGGGUAACAUCACGCAAGCACUUGAAAGGCAACAGUAAGAUAGCUCACACGAAUGAAAAGACACGGCGCCGGU
rnacentral:misc_RNA from 1 species